rnacentral:rRNA from 1 species
UUCGGACUGUAGGCUGCAACUCGCCUACACGAAGCUGGAAUCGCUAGUAAUCGCGGAUCAGCACGCCGCGGUGAAUACGUUCCCGGGCCUUGUACACACCGCCCGUCACACCAUGAGAGUCUGUAACACCCAAAGCCGGUGGGAUAACCUUUAUAGGAGUCAGCCGUCUAAGGUAGGACAGAUGAUUAGGGUGAAGUCGUAACAAGGUAAC